AGAAAAGUGAGCAUGUGGCCAUAACACAUUACUUUUGCACAAUUUGAAGAACUAUGUGGUGAAGCUCCCACCUAUUCAUAGUUCUCUAUUCAGAAAUUCUAUUAUUCACUUAUUUUUCAAACGCCUUCUCCAUGUCCACACAGCCCAUGUAGACUGGUUGGGAAAUCUCCCAUGCACCCUCCAGAAACCUGCUGAAGGUGAACAGCUGGUCCAUUGUUCCAGGGCCAGGACGAAAACAACACUGCUCCUCCUGAAUCUGACAUUCGACGUGUCGACAGACCCUCUCCAGCGACCGCAAAUAGACCGAACCAGGGAGGCUGAGGAGUGUGAUCCCCCUGUAGUUGAAACACAUCCUCCGGUCUCCCUUCUUAAAAAGGGGGACCACCACUCCGAUCUGCUAAUCCAGAAACACUGUCCCUGAUGUCCGAGACGGGUCAACCAGGACACGUGCAUUCAGACCUUCGUCAGUUGAAAUGGACAUUACUGCUUGAUGUCCUGUUUUGAUGGAUGAUGCUUGCAUAAAUACUGUACAUAUAUUUAUGGCAUGAUUGAAUUGGUAGAGCAUUUAUAGCUUUUAUAGUUGUAGAAGAAUUGAACAAUUCCAAUGCCAUGUUAGGGUUCCAAUGUCUUUGAACCAUCAGGAUUUGUUUUUUUUAAGAUGGUGUCAUGAAGUAGGCGUCCGUCUAUCAAGGCUCUGCUUUUUGUCUGUUGUUUUUUGUCAUUUGGUGUAUGUUGUCCCUCGCGUGGACCCAUUGUGGACUGUUUACAGCAGCAGCGUGACAAUCAUUGAUGGAGAAUGUCGGUACUCGACGGUUGCGCCCCUUUUGGCAGCAUGCCUGAAGCAGCACCGUCUGCGCUUUUCUUACUGUCGCCGUUGUUGUGUCUGAGCCGGAUAGGCAGCAGUUUUCCAAUAGCCACGGAAAUGUCGGCCCUGCUGGACUACCCGCGAUUGGAUGGAUGGCUGGGGGAGCUGAACGAGGUGCGUCGGCAAUGUGGAGCCCAGACGAGAUGUGGACAGGAGAGACAGAGGUGGCUCUGGAUAGGACUGGAGAAUGGAGCUAAUCUUCCUUUUCUUUUACUCGCAAACGGACGCUAAAGUUUUUUUGUUCACGUUAAAUUGUGUUUGUUGCAGCCGUGAGGUACGUCAUACUCGCUGUGAUUCUAACAUCUAUGAUCCACUGAUGAAGGGAGACUACAAACCAAGAAUGACUUACCAAUUCGAUACUUGGGUCUGCAUGUUAUCUGGAGACCGGACACUUCCAAAGUGCAGUGGUCGGUGAGCAGAGCUUGCCAGGGGAUGGUCACAGUGAUGCUGCUCACAAAGCCGUCCACUAUCUCCAGGGGAGCGCCCAGGGACUCCAGAAGCUCGUUGACGGCCUAAAGUAAAGAGAUGAGACACACAUGACAUGCUGAGUGACACAAAUGGAAAAACAUGUUGACUCAUUUCCAUAAAAAAAAAAAACAAGUGACGAUGUCUAUAGAUAGCUUGGUUACGAUAUUUGUUUUUGUAUUUCUUUGUUUGUGUGUCCAGGAAAACAAACAUUACAUUUGUAAAGAAAAGUGUGUAAAGAAAAAUACACAAUACCUAACCUAAUGUAAAUAUGUUACUGCAAACCAGAUAUUAAUGAUUUUAUGCCAUUUGCUCUUUCAUGAACAUCCAUUCAUUCGUUUGGGGUGAUAAAUAAAUGUAAUACAGCAAUAUCGACCUGUACGGCUGUCCUGUUGCAUCGUAAUCUGUUAUUGAUUAUUAAAUAUAGCUAGAUAGACGGCGAUACAGAUAGACAUACAGUCAGACAGAUCAUGUCGAUAUCAAAACAACCUGGCAACACAAGAGUGUGUAAUACAGCUCCUCUUUUUGUGUAUGACUUUACUAUAGAUAGAUAGAUAGAUAGAUAGAUAGAUAGAUAGAUAGAUAGAUAGAUAGAUAGAUAGAUAGAUAGAUAGAUAGAUAGAUAGAUAGAUAGAUAGAUAGAUAGAUAGAUAGAUAGAUAGAUAGAUAGAUAGAUAGAUAGAUAGAUAGAUAGAUAGAUAGAACCUGGCAACACAAAAGUAAUACAGUUCGUUCUAGUUGUAUGACUUACACGUUGCCAGGUUGGUUAGAAAUCCACCUAGCGAGGCAGAUAAGACAGUUGGCCACAAAGACGGAAAGAUCGAAAGAUAAGAAGUGAGCAGUGGUGGUGAACAUUUCCCACAAGUGUUUCCGCGAAGAAAAGCGAGCUGUGCAUGACGUUGGAGGAUGUUGUUGUCGAACACCGGCGGUGGCGUUGCGAAACAGUCACAUCAGAGUGGGUGAAACAAAAACAAUAAAACACACAGCACACAGCACACGGUGAUGGUUGCUGGCCACUUUUCCGAAACACUCACCCACACGUCGAGGUUGAUCUCCUUGAUGACGCCGCUGCCAUUGUACAGGUCCAAACCCAGUUGCUCCAAGCUCAGG